GCCAGGGGUGGGCUGAAGUUUAUUCUUCAGACCCUUCCAUUGGGAGAACUUCUCAUAAAUCCUUGCCUGCAAUUGCUGGUUUCCGUGUCCCAGUUGUCUCACUCAACACCUAACAGGGCUCAUGUUCAAUAAUUAACUGCGGAGUGGCCUUUGCCUGAUCCUAAGCUCCUCGCCAGCCUGCUUGUUCCAGCCCAUCUCCGAGACCACUAAACCGCGGUCGUCUCUGGAAUACUGGAGGGAAAUGCAGAGUAGAAGCCUGAGCCACACACAGAGCCUCUUCCUCUCCCAGUGCAGUCUCUGGAAGAACUCCUGCUGCUCCUUCAACACCAGCCAGGAAACACAUGAAGAUUCCUCCUACCUGUGCAGAUUCAACUGGGACCACUGA
rnacentral:lncRNA from 1 species